GCUGAGUUAGUCUGAUCUCUGAAACUUAUCAGGGUCACACCUGGUUUGGACUUGGAUGGGAAACCACCUGGGAAUUUCAGGUGGCAUAAGCU
rnacentral:rRNA from 1 species